rnacentral:rRNA from 1 species
UACGUAGGGUGCAAGCGUUGGCCGGAAUUAUUGGGCGUAAAGAGCUCGUAGGCGGCUUGUCACGGCGGCUGUGAAAACCCGGGGCUCAACCCCGGGCCUGCAGUCGAUACGGGCAAGCUAGAGUUCGGUAGGGGAGACUGGAAUUCCUGGUGUAGCGGUGAAAUGCGCAGAUAUCAGGAGGAACACCAGUGGCGAAGGCGGCGAUCUGGGUCGAUACUGACGCUGAGGUGCGAAAGCGUGGGGAGCAAACAGG